CUAAGCACAGGUCGCAAGACGUAAGCGAUGGAUAACAGGUUUAGAUUCCUGUACCACGCAUUAUCAGAACUGUAGGGACGCAUGUGGAAAGCACGGGCCGGGAAUGGAAAGACCGGUACAAGCGGGGUAGGUGUACAAUAGGCAAAUCCGUUGUAUAAUCCGAAGACGUGAUGUGGAGCGAAAUAAAGUAGCAAAGCGUGUGAGCCAUGUGCCGAGGAAAGCUGCUAUUGUGUAAUGCGUGCCCGUACCGUAAACCGACACAGGUGGAUGAGGAGAGAAUCCUAAGGCCGACGGAAGAAGCAUUGUUAAGGAAUUCGGCAAAAUGACCCCGUAACUUCGGGAGAAGGGGUGCCUGCGAGAGCAGGCCGCAGAGAAUAGGCUCAAGCAACUGUUUAGCAAAAACACAGGUCUAUGCGAAACCGAAAGGUGAAGUAUAUGGGCUGACGCCUGCCCGGUGCUGGAAGGUUAAGAGGAGAGGUUAGCGUAAGCGAAGCUUUGAAUUUAAGCCCCAGUAAACGGCGGCCGUAACAAUAACGGUCCUAAGGUAGCGAAAUUCCUUGUCGGGUAAGUUCCGACCCGCACGAAAGGCGUAAUGAUUUGAGCACUGUCUCGACAAUGCAUCCGGUGAAAUUGAAGUACCAGUGAAGAUGCUGGUUACCCGCGCCAGGACGGAAAGACCCCAUGGAGCUUUACUCCAGUUUGAUACUGGGAUUCGGUACUGCAUGUACAGGAUAGGUGGGAGACGAAGAAGGAUGGACGCCAGUCUGUCCGGAGUCGCUGUUGGGAUACCACCCCUGUAGUACUGGGUUUCUAACCAGUUGCCAUGAACUGGCAAUGGGACAAUGUCAGGCGGGGAGUUUGACUGGGGCGGUCGCCUCCGAAAGGGUAUCGGAGGCGCUCAAAGGUUCCCUCAGAAUGGUUGGAAACCAUUUGAAGAGUGCAAAGGCAGAAGGGAGCUUGACCGCGACACCGACGGGUGGAGCAGGUACGAAAGUAGGACUUAGUGAUCCGGUGGUAUAAAGUGGGAUUGCCAUCGCUCAACGGAUAAAAGCUACCCUGGGAUAACAGGCUUAUCACUCCCAAGAGUUCACAUCGACGGAGUGGUUUGGCACCUCGAUGUCGGCUCAUCGCAUCCUGGGGCUGUAGCAGGUCCCAAGGGUUGGGCUGUUCGCCCAUUAAAGCGGUACGCGAGCUGGGUUCAGAACGUCGUGAGACAGUUCGGUCCCUAUCCGGCGCGGGCGGAGGAUAUUUGAGAGGAGCUGUCCUUAGUACGAGAGGACCGGGAUGGACGGACCACUGGUGUAUCUGUUGUCGACCAACGGCAUGGCAGAGUAGCCAAGUCUGGAAGGGAUAAACGCUGAAGGCAUCUAAGCGUGAAGCCCCCCUCAAGAUGAGAUAUCCCUCCUUCGGGAGUAAGACCCCUUGAAGACUACAAGGUAGAUAGGGCAGAGGUGGAAGCAUGGCAACAUGUGGAGCUGACUGUUACUAAUAGGUCGAGGGCUC
rnacentral:rRNA from 1 species